AAAUGUUUCGUCAUCCAAUUAGUGACGUACAUGAGUGAGAUUAAUAAAAUUCCUUCUGUUUUUAUUUAUUUUCUAAUAAAACUAUUAACAAAGGGAAUAGACUUGGAAAAAUUAGCGAGGAAAGAAGAUUCUUGUUAAAUUUAAUUCUAGUCUGGCAUUAUAAGAAGAUAUAAAAAACUGUAGUAUAAGUGAGACAUGGUAACAUCGCUGGUGAAAUAUCGCUUUCAUUUUUUUAAUUAGUCGGUUGGAUGGAGCACGUAUUUUAAUAUUCUAGAGCCUAUUCUAAAGCGGGGACUUUAACUGAGAUGAUACAUCUGUCAAAAAAUAAGUAUUUUAUAUAUAUAACAGCGCAAAAAAGACUAAAACCUCGCAUAGAGCAAAAAAGCAAAAGAUUUAAUCUUGAUAUUCGAUACCCACAAAAACUGGCCUAUCGAUUCUUUUAGCUUAAACAGUUUUCAGCAAAAGAUGUCAAAAAAAUUACCAUAAGGAUAAAUUGGCUUUUGACUAAGACUUCAUAGCGACAUUCUUCGAUAUCGACUUUUUCUAUCAUUGCGAAGCAGAAUUUUUCAAGCGUCAGAUUUACAUGAGAACAUGAGCUAAGUCUAUUGAUGAUUAAUUGUUGCAAUAGUAAUCCUGUUAAAUAUAAAAAAAAAUAGAUUCGAAUAUUUAGAAUAAUAAUAUUAUGUAUUGCGAUCUGUUAAAACUCAAUUCUAAACUUUCAUCUUGUUCAUCUUAUCAUAAUAUUAUAUACAACAUUAUAUAUUAUAGAACAUAUAUAUAUGUAUAUCUCGAUAUCA
rnacentral:ncRNA from 1 species